CCUACGGGGGGCUGCAGUGGGGAAUCUUCCGCAAUGGACGAAAGUCUGACGGAGCAACGCCGCGUGAGUGAUGACGGCCUUCGGGUUGUAAAGCUCUGUGAUCGGGGACGAAUGGCUGGUGCGUUAAUACCGCAUCAGAGUGACGGUACCCGAAUAGCAAGCCACGGCUAACUACGUGCCAGCAGCCGCGGUAAUACGUAGGUGGCAAGCGUUGUCCGGAAUUAUUGGGCGUAAAGCGCGCGCAGGCGGCUUCUUAAGUCCAUCUUAAAAGUGCGGGGCUUAACCCCGUGAUGGGAUGGAAACUGGGAGGCUGGAGUAUCGGAGAGGAAAGUGGAAUUCCUAGUGUAGCGGUGAAAUGCGUAGAGAUUAGGAAGAACACCGGUGGCGAAGGCGACUUUCUGGACGACAACUGACGCUGAGGCGCGAAAGCGUGGGGAGCAAACAGGAUUAGAUACCCCGGUAGUC
rnacentral:rRNA from 1 species